AUCCGUGUCGUCGUUCUGAAAAAUGCUUAAAAUUGUUUUAAACCUUGUAAAAAACCUCGACGGGCACUUUGGAUUUGAAGAUUACCAUUACCCUAAACCCCGGGCUCAAACCUCUGGCCAACUUGGCCGACGAAGAGAGUCUGAUUCUUUCGCAGACUAUAGAGCUGAUAAUUUGCAAUGGUAGGACGCCUACCGUCAUUACAUUUACGCAGAAUCUGUCUCUCACAUACCACCAUUUUAAGUGCCUGUAGGUUUGAUCUCGUGUGUUCCAUUUCCUCCACUUUCUCUGCUAAAUUGGGCAGAUGGGAGGAUAUUCGCUUCAUGGGGAGCUCUGGUGGGGCAUUGAACAAAUGGCAACAGAGAAGACUUGAGGAGAAGAGAGCUAUAAAUAAACUUAAAAAGGGUAAGUUACUUGGCAACAGCACUAGUGAUGACUCUAAUUCUUAUAAAAAUAGUAAAAAUUCGGCCAAAGAAGGUUACAAGGAUCAAAUUAGCGCACCUGCCGAUAAAUUUAUGAAGGUGGGUGCUGUGGAUUUAUGGAAUGAAAACGACGGGCCCUUAACAACUGUUCCUCCACUUACAGACACUAGUAAGGUGCGUGAUUCAUUAAAUGGGGGCAAAGUGCAGAGGAAGGACACUGUAAAAGAUGGUUCAGGGAAAGGUGGGUCGAUUGGAUUUAGGAGAGGUUUUUCUAGUCUAAGAAGAUUUAAUGGAUUGAGAUUUUUUAUGAAGGCUGAGGAACUGGAUGAUGGGGUCACUAUUAACGAUAGUUUGGGCAAGAGAGAAUCAGUUAUGUUCAGGAGAGCUUUUUCUAGGGGAUUUAAUACAGCAGGGAUUUUUAGCGGGGUUCGGGAAUUGGAUGGGCGAGACACUAUGGACAAUAGUUUGGGCAAGAGUGGAUCAGUUUUAUUCAGGAAGUGUUUUUCGAGUGGAAGUAGAAGGAGAUUUAAAAGAGUAGGAACAUCUAGUGAAGAUGAAGAAUUGGAUGAAGAGUGGUAUGGAGAUGGACCUUUUGAUAGCGUUGGGAGUCAUACUAAGGAAGAAGAUACUGGGUUCAGCAGUUCAAAAUCAAAGUCGAAUUGGAGAAAGGGCAGGGAGUUUGAAAGAUUAGGGAGCUUUGGUGAUGAAGAGGAAACAGGACGGAAGAUUAGGAAGAACAGUGCCAUACCGAAGAGUUUGAUUGAUGAUGAAAUGGAAUUGGAUAAUAUAAUCGACAAAGAGAUGACAGCUGGUAUGAAGUUUGAAGAAGAGUUGUUGACUGGGAAACGUUUCGGGCAAUUUUAUGACAAUGACAAGGAAGCUUUCAGAAGAUCCAGAUUCCUUAGUAUGGUAGAUUCAAUGGAGAAUUUUUCUGAUCCCAGAUCAAGAGAAGAUUCUUCUGAUGAGGAAGAUGAGCGGAGAGAGUCAAGGUUCCCAAAACCUGGCAGAGUUGGAGGGUCUAUGCGAUCAAAGAGGCAGUUUAUGAGUGGUUCUAAGGAAGAGUUGUCGAAUUCAAGCAGAAAUUUUUCCAGGUGGCGUAAUGAUGAUGGUGAGAAGGUUUUCAGACAAUCCAAACCUAUUAGGAUGGGAGAGUCGACAGAUGCUUAUUCUGGUCACAAAUCAAGAGAAAGAUUUUUCAAUGAGAAUGAGGGCAGGCGAGUCUCCAGGAACCCCAAAACUGGCAGAAUUCAGGGACCAACGCCAGCUCAGUGGGGUUCAAGAUCAAAGAGGCAAUCUAUGGGCAGUUUUGACAAAACAGGGGAGAUGGGAUUUCGAGAGAUUGGAUCCAAUAGAAGGGGAAGAUCAUUUUCAUCUUUCUCAGGGGUAAAAAGACCACUGGGGAGAGAUUUUGAUUUUGAAAAGGAAAUAGAAUUUACUCAGCCCAAACCUAGCGGAACUGGCGAUUUCAUGUCACGGCUUUCUGUUCAAAAGUCAAGGAGGGAAUCUUUGAGAGAAAAGGCAGUGAGUGAGGACAAGGAGAGUAGACAUGGACAUACCGUGGCUGAUGACAGUUGGCUAAAAUUUGGUUCGAGGUUCAAAAGUGAAGCCUCAAGAGACAUGGAGAUGUCUGAAGAUAAAGAAGAGGAAUUGGACACACAGACAUUACCUCGUGAGUUCUGCAAGACAGAGCAACCAAAUGGCAGCAUUUACCAUGCAAAGAAUUACCGGAUGUGGAAUGGCAAUGAGGAGAAAUCUUACUUAAGUUCGUUAAGAUUUGAUCAAUGCAAUAUAUCAACACUUUCCCUUCAGGCUCUUUCAUCGGCAGGGUAUGUGCAAAUGACGGUUAUGCAGGAAUCCACUCUUCCAAUUAUUCUCGAAGGAAAGGAUGUGCUAGUCAAAGCUAAAAGAGGAACAGGCAAGACUUUAGCCUUUUUGCUUCCAGCAAUUGAGGCAGUUGUAAAGUUGCCUCCACCCAGUCAAAAUCUGAAGAGACCCAUUGUUGUACUGAUUUUAUGUCCUAUUCGAGAACUUGCUAUCCAGACUGCUGCAGAGGCGAAUGCCUUGUUGAAAUACCAUAAUAACAUUGGGGUUCAGGUAGUCACUGAGGGUACCAAAUUAUAUGAAGAGAAAAUACAGCUGGAAACAAAUCCUUGUCAGAUUGUAGUAGCUACACCUAGGAGGCUAUUGGAACAUAUUGACAAUGCACCAGCCUUUUCCAACCGUUUAAUGGGAUUGGAAUUACUCGUCCUUGAUGACACUGAUUGGUUGUUAAACCUGGAAUUUCAUGAGGACCUUCACAAAAUUAUAGAUGUUGUACCAAGACACAGGCAGUCGCUCAUAUUUUCAGCUACAGUUCGUCAGGAGGUUCGUCAAUUAUCUCAGAUUGUUUUACGAAGACAUCAUUCUUUUAUUAACACAGCUGGAUAACCCAUGCCAAGAUUGUGCAGAGAUGCAUUGUUAUCUCAUAUGAAAACCAUUUCAAUGUGCUUUAUGAUGAACUUAAGAAGCAAAACACUCGGAAGUCUGGUUACAAGGUGAAAAGUGGUUUAAAAGUGUGAUGAGGAGGAUUCGGUAUCAGAUUUUGUUGAAACACAAUCAGUUUUUUAUGAGAUUAAUGCGCAGAUUGGAGAAGAUGAAUUGGAGUUGAUACAAAAAGAAGUUCCAAAUAAUGAAAAGAGUUUCUCAGGUUGAGGAGGGAAAGCUGUUUGCUUUGGAGCUUGUCCAUAUUUUUCUAUGUUGGAGGUUGGCCCUUAAAGGAUGAGGGAUAGACCACAUAAGGAUAUUGUAAAGCCCAUUCGACGAGAAUUCAACUACUUGGGAGGAUGCAAUGCAAUUGAGAUUUAUAUAUCCCCAUCUUUUUGCAAUCUUCCAAGAGUAAGCCUAUUCCUAGGAGGGAAGGAUGUAAUGCAUCUAUCAUUUGAUUUUGGAUAUUGUGUGAUCCUAGAUGUAUACCUAAUAAUCAUUAUACUUCAUUAUUUUGCA